GAUGAAGAACGUAGUGAAAUGCGAUAAGUAAUGUGAAUUGCAGAAUUCAGUGAAUCAUCGAAUCUUUGAACGCACAUUGCGCCCCUUGGUAUUCCGAGGGGCAUGCCUGUUCGAGCGUCAUUAUAACCCCUCAAGCUCAGCUUGGUGUUGGGGCCUGCUGCACUGGCAGCCCUUAAAAUCAGUGCCGGCGCCAUCUGGCUCUAAGCGUAGUAAUUCUUCUCGCUAUGGAGUCCUGGUGGAUGCUUGCCAUCAACCCCCAAUUUUUCUAUGGUUGACCUCGGAUCAGGUAGGGAUACCCGCUGAACUUAAGCAUAUCAAUAAGCGGAGGA
rnacentral:misc_RNA from 1 species